UACGUAGGGGGCAAGCGUUUGUCCGGAAUCAUUGGGCGUAAAGAGCGUGUAGGCGGCCCGGUAAGUCCGCUGUGAAAGUCCAGGGCUCAACCCUGGGAUGCCGGUGGAUACUGUCGGGCUCGAGUCCGGAAGAGGAGUGUGGAAUUCCUGGUGUAGCGGUGAAAUGCGCAGAUAUCAGGAGGAACACCAAUGGCGAAGGCAGCACUCUGGGACGUGACUGACGCUGAGACGCGAAAGCGUGGGGAGCGAACAGG
rnacentral:rRNA from 1 species